rnacentral:rRNA from 1 species
GAUGAACGCUGGCGGCGUGCCUAAUACAUGCCAGUCGAGCGAACAGAUGAGGAGCUUGCUCCUCUGACGUUAGCGGCGGACGGGUGAGUAACACGUGGAUAACCUACCUAUAAGACUGGGAUAACUUCGGGAAACCGGAGCUAAUACCGGAUAAUAUAUUGAACCGCAUGGUUCAAUAGUGAAAGACGGUUUUGCUGUCACUUAUAGAUGGAUCCGCGCCGCAUUAGCUAGUUGGUAAGGUAACGGCUUACCAAGGCAACGAUGCGUAGCCGACCUGAGAGGGUGAUCGGCCACACUGGAACUGAGACACGGUCCAGACUCCUACGGGAGGCAGCAGUAGGGAAUCUUCCGCAAUGGGCGAAAGCCUGACGGAGCAACGCCGCGUGAGUGAUGAAGGUCUUCGGAUCGUAAAACUCUGUUAUUAGGGAAGAACAAAUGUGUAAGUAACUAUGCACGUCUCGACGGUACCUAAUCAGAAAGCCACGGCUAACUACGUG